CAUUGAGCCUUGAUGUGUAGGAUAGGUGGGAGGCUUUGAAGUGUGGACGCCAGUCUGCAUGGAGCCGACCUUGAAAUACCACCCUUUAAUGUUUGAUGUUCUAACGUGGACCCGUUACCCGGGUUGCGGACAGUGUCUGGUGGGUAGUUUGACUGGGGCGGUCUCCUCCUAAAGAGUAACGGAGGAGCACGAAGGUUGGCUAAUCCUGGUCGGACAUCAGGAGGUUAGUGCAAUGGCAUAAGCCAGCUUGACUGCGAGCGUGACGGCGCGAGCAGGUGCGAAAGCAGGUCAUAGUGAUCCGGUGGUUCUGAAUGGAAGGGCCAUCGCUCAACGGAUAAAAGGUACUCCGGGGAUAACAGGCUGAUACCGCCCAAGAGUUCAUAUCGACGGCGGUGUUUGGCACCUCGAUGUCGGCUCAUCACAUCCUGGGGCUGAAGUAGGUCCCAAGGGUAUGGCUGUUCGCCAUUUAAAGUGGUACGCGAGCUGGGUUUAGAACGUCGUGAGACAGUUCGGUCCCUAUCUGCCGUGGGCGCUGGAGAACUGAGGGGGGCUGCUCCUAGUACGAGAGGACCGGAGUGGACGCAUCACUGGUGUUCGGGUUGUCAUGCCAAUGGCACUGCCCGGUAGCUAAAUGCGGAAGAGAUAAGUGCUGAAAGCAUCUAAGCACGAAACUUGCCCCGA
rnacentral:rRNA from 1 species